rfam:Brachypodium distachyon strain Bd21 chromosome 5, whole genome shotgun sequence.
UUAGUACUCCCUGCGACCAACAAAGCAUUUCUCAACUUUUACUAAAUUUGAAUGCAUCUAAAUACUAAAUCAUGUCUAGAUACAUUCAAAUUUUGAUAAACUUGAGAUAUUUUUUGUUGGACGGAGAAAGUAUUUU